GAGGGGGUGUGGACUUCCCCGUAUGCUUUUCUUUUUUUCCGCCCCUUUUCCUUUUCUUCCUUUAAUGAACUGUUUGUUUUAGCUCUUGUUUUCCCCUUUCCAAUUAUAAGUGACAUAUAUUAUUGCAGAAGAUUUGGAAUACACAGAAAAGUAUAAAGUUUCCUAUCUGACUUAAAAGACAAAUACUGAAAAUGGAAUACAAUACACAGGAUACACAGCAGUGCAUAUUCAAGAAUAGUGGAAUAACCUGGGGUCAUCUCCAGUUGUCCAGGCAAGCCCUACUGUCCCAACCUGUCCCAUCUGGAGAAGGGAGCUAACAGACAGCUGAAUAUACUGUUACUGCAACUCAAGAUUGUGGGAGCAGGAGUUCUGACUCAGCACAAACCUGGUUGUAUGACCUUGACAAUGUUACUCACAAUUCCCUGCUUCAGUUGCUUUGGUUAUAAAAUCAAGCUAAUGCACCCCAGUGUUUCUGACACAGAUGGUUACAAAGCUGCUUAGAUAGAUCUGCUCCUGCAGUUCUCAGAGCUUUUCUGGUCCCUGUCUUUCCUGAGUUUUGUUAAUGUCUUCUUGAGAUUGCCUGUUCUUCCAGUAAAUUACUCUUUUUCUCCUUAAGCCAGCUAUUGCUGGUUUCUGUUACUUGUAAACAAAAAGGAUUUUAACUACUGCAAUAAACCAGUGUAGCAUUUUCCAAAUUGUAUUCUGGGGA